rnacentral:rRNA from 1 species
AGGCUAAGACAGUCAGGAAGUUGGCUUAGAAGCAGCCAUCCUUCAAAGAAAGCGUAAUAGCUCACUGAUCGAGUCUUUCUGCGCGGAAGAUGUAACGGGGCUAAGUCAAUAACCGAAGCCGCGGAUUCACACUUGUGUGUGAGUGGUAGGGGAGCGUUCUGUAAGCCUGCGAAGGUGACUCGUAAGGGUUGCUGGAGGUAUCAGAAGUGCGAAUGCUGACAUGAGUAACGUUAAAGCGGGUGAAAAGCCCGCUCGCCGUAAGCCCAAGGUUUCCUGCUCUACGUUCAUCGGAGCAGGGUGAGUCGGCCCCUAAGGUGAGGCUGAGAAGCGUAACUGAUGGGAACAAGGUUAAUAUUCCUUGACCACCGCUGAAUGCGAAGGGGGGACGGAGUAUUGAAGAUCAUCCGGGUGUUGGAUAUCCCGGUUUGCGAGCGUAGGAGGCUGACAGGCAAAUCCGUCAGCGGAUCUCCGAGGCAAAGCAUCGAGCUCUCUUUUGAGCGAAGUGAUUGGAUGUGCUUCCAGGAAAAGCCUCUAAGCUCCAGUUCAGCGGGACCGUACCGCAAACCGACACUGGUGGGCGAGCUGAAUAUGCUCAGGCGCUUGAGAGAACUCAGGAGAAGGAACUCGGCAAAUUGACACCGUAACUUCGGGAUAAGGUGUGCCUUUGUAGCGUGGAGGGAGAAACACCCCGAGCGCGAAGAGGUCUCAGAUAAUCGGUGGCUGCGACUGUUUAUUAAAAACACAGCACUCUGCAAAGACGAAAGUCGACGUAUAGGGUGUGAUGCCUGCCCGGUGCUGGAAGAUUAAUUGAUGGGGUGCAAGCUCCUGAUCGAAGUCCCAGUAAACGGCGGCCGUAACUAUAACGGUCCUAAGGUAGCGAAAUUCCUUGUCGGGCAAGUUCCGACCUGCACGAAUGGCAUAACGAUGGCCACACUGUCUCCUCCUGAGACUCAGUGAAGUUGAAGUGUUUGUGAUGAUGCAAUCUCCCCGCGGCUAGACGGAAAGACCCCAUGAACCUUUACUGUAGCUUUGCAUUGGACUUUGAACCGAUCUGUGUAGGAUAGGCGGGAGCCUGUGAAACCACAACGCCAGUUGUGGCGGAGGCGUCCUUGAAAUACCGCCCUGAUUUGUUUGAGGUUCUAACCUGGGACAGUCAUCCUGUCCGGGGACCGUGCAUGGUAGGCAGUUUGACUGGGGCGGUCUCCUCCUAAAGGGUAACGGAGGAGUGCGAAGGUACGCUAGGUACGGUCGGAAAUCGUGCUGAUAGUGCAAUGGCAAAAGCGUGCUUGACUGCGAGACCCACAAGUCGAGCAGAUACGAAAGUAGGUCAUAGUGAUCCGGUGGCUCUGUAUGGAAGGGCCAUCGCUCAACGGAUAAAAGGUACUCUGGGGAUAACAGGCUGAUACCGCCCAAGAGUUCAUAUCGACGGCGGU